GGGAAUCCUGUGCCUGCUAUUUUCCUCCUCUCAUGUGUUUUUUACCUCUCAAAUUUACAGUUCUCCUCGCACGCUAUGCAAAUUCACUUACCUGCGGCCCCGACUUUUGAUAUUGAUGUGACGCCUUAGUUAAAAUUUAGAGUACAUUUAGGCUGUAAACCAGCGACUUGGAGCUUCUUGGCCAUGUAGCCAGGCAUACUGUAGAGGAAGAGGGCCACGAUGGCAAGCAGGAGUAAGGCCAGUACGAUUUUGAUGACCAGCCAUUUGUACUGGUUGCAGACAAGAGGGCAGUGGCAGCAGAUUAUGACUCCCAAGAUACUCACAUGAAAAGGUAAAGUCUUUGGAAGACAAAUGCACACAACAAUGAGGUGAGUUUUGUAGAAACAGUCCAGAAAUGGUAACAAAUGCAUGUACAGUGUUUAUUCUUUAAUGUGUAUCACACAAAGCACUCAGUUAUUAUUGUUGCAUGGACAGGCAAUACAAAUGCAAUCCAUUUAUCUAUAAACAAUCAAAUGACAAUGCAAACCUUAAAUUAAUACAAAAUGUAACAUCAACUCGAGUGAAGACAGGCAUAGAAGUCAAACUGUGUUGUUUAAAUAUAUUCACAAAGAUGGUAAAUCCUUUUUUUUGUUUUAAGAAACACUCCUGGGCCUAUUUCAGGGGUGCACAUUUGUGGCCUAGCCUGUCUGUGAUGUAUUAUAUUUGAACACAUAUGUAAAUUUCUGUAGCUGUGGUGCUUUUUGAUUGAAGCUUGA